GGGGUUGUGGCUCAGAGGUAGAUCGCUCGCCUACCAUGAGUGAGGCCCUGGGUUCGAUCCUCAGCACCACA
rnacentral:tRNA from 1 species